GACGAACGCUGGCGGCGUGCUUAACACAUGCAAGUCGAGCGGUAAGGCCUUUCGGGGUACACGAGCGGCGAACGGGUGAGUCACACGUGGGUGAUCUGCCCUGCACUUCGGGAUAAGCCUGGGAAACUGGGUCUAAUACCGGAUAUGACCUCCUAUCGCAUGGUGGGUGGUGGAAAGAUUUAUCGGUGCAGGAUGGGCCCGCGGCCUAUCAGCUUGUUGGUGGGGUAAUGGCCUACCAAGGCGACGACGGGUAGCCGACCUGAGAGGGUGACCGGCCACACUGGGACUGAGACACGGCCCAGACUCCUACGGGAGGCAGCAGUGGGGAAUAUUGCACAAUGGGCGAAAGCCUGAUGCAGCGACGCCGCGUGAGGGAUGACGGCCUUCGGGUUGUAAACCUCUUUCAGCAGGGACGAAGCGAAAGUGACGGUACCUGCAGAAGAAGCACCGGCUAACUACGUG
rnacentral:rRNA from 1 species